rnacentral:lncRNA from 1 species
UGUAAAGCAUAGGAAUUCCUCUUUCAAAAUAAUAGAAUAACCACAGAUUUGUUAGAAUCUAUUCUCUAAAGAUAGCUUUCAUUUAAAAGAGAUAGAUCUGCCAGUUACAUGCUAAUUUUCUGUUUCUUCAGACUGUCAAAAUCAUUCCUUUACACAACUGCACAUGCCAUGUAGCUAAAUAAUGGCCAAGGAGAUAACAUCACAAGUGUUUUGUGAUUCCCAGAAUUCUCAGAGGAAAAUGGAUAUGCCUACUUUUUACCCUCAUUUUUCCUACUGUCUACUAGUAGAUGUGAUGGCUCAAUUUUGAGGCACCAUUUUGUACCAUGAGGUGACAUACUAAGAAUGGCGAAGCAGCAAGAUAAGGAUCCUGAUGACUCAGACAACAGAUUAGUCCUGGAUUACGCAUCUCUAGGCUACUUUCACAUGAAAGAGAAAUAAACUCUAUGUUAUUGUA